rnacentral:rRNA from 1 species
AUAUUGCACAAUGGAGGAAACUCUGAUGCAGCGACGCCGCGUGAACGAUGAAGGCCUNNNGGUCGNACAGUUCUUUCCUGGGGNACGNAAAUGAAGGUACACCAGGAGGAAGCCCCGUCUAACUACGUUCCAGCAGCCGCGGUAAUACGUAGGGGGCGAGCGUUGUCCGGAAUUAUUGGGCGUAAAGGGUUCGUAGGCGGUUUUUUAAGUCAGAUGUGAAAGGUCACGGCUCAACCGUGGUAAGCAUUUGAAACUGAAAGACUUGAGUUAAGGAAAGGAAAAUUGAAUUCCUAGUGUAGCGGUUAAAUGCGUAGAUAUUAGGAGGAAUACCAGUGGCGAAGGCGACUUUCUGGACUUAUACUGACGCUGAAGAACGAAAGCGUGGGGAGCAAACA